UACGAAGGGGGGCUAGCGUUGCUCGGAAUCACUGGGCGAAAGCGCACGUAGGCGGAUUGCUAAGUCAGGGGUGAAAUCCUGGAGCUCAACUCCAGAACUGCCUUUGAUACUGGGCGACCUUGAGUCCGGGAGAGGUGAGUGGAACUGCGAGUGUAGAGGUGAAAUUCGUAGAUAUUCGCAAGAACACCAGUGGCGAAGGCGG
rnacentral:rRNA from 1 species